CAUAGGUUAAUGAGGCGAACCGGGGGAACUGAAACAUCUAAGUACCCCGAGGAAAAGAAAUCAACCGAGAUUCCCCCAGUAGCGGCGAGCGAACGGGGAGCAGCCCAGAGCCUGAAUCAGUGUGUGUGUUAGUGGAAGCGUCUGGAAAGGCGCGCGAUACAGGGUGACAGCCCCGUACACAAAAAUGCACAUGCUGUGAGCUCGAUGAGUAGGGCGGGACACGUGGUAUCCUGUCUGAAUAUGGGGGGACCAUCCUCCAAGGCUAAAUACUCCUGACUGACCGAUAGUGAACCAGUACCGUGAGGGAAAGGCGAAAAGAACCCCGGCGAGGGGAGUGAAAAAGAACCUGAAACCGUGUACGUACAAGCAGUGGGAGCACGCUUAGGCGUGUGACUGCGUACCUUUUGUAUAAUGGGUCAGCGACUUAUAUUCUGUAGCAAGGUUAACCGAAUAGGGGAGCCGAAGGGAAACCGAGUCUUAACUGGGCGUUAAGUUGCAGGGUAUAGACCCGAAACCCGGUGAUCUAGCCAUGGGCAGGUUGAAGGUUGGGUAACACUAACUGGAGGACCGAACCGACUAAUGUUGAAAAAUUAGCGGAUGACUUGUGGCUGGGGGUGAAAGGCCAAUCAAACCGGGAGAUAGCUGGUUCUCCCCGAAAGCUAUUUAGGUAGCGCCUCGUGAAUUCAUCUCCGGGGGUAGAGCACUGUUUCGGCAAGGGGGUCAUCCCGACUUACCAACCCGAUGCAAACUGCGAAUACCGGAGAAUGUUAUCACGGGAGACACACGGCGGGUGCUAACGUCCGUCGUGAAGAGGGAAACAACCCAGACCGCCAGCUAAGGUCCCAAAGUCAUGGUUAA
rnacentral:rRNA from 1 species